rnacentral:rRNA from 1 species
AGAGGGCGUGAAACCGCUUAGAAGGAAACGAGAGGCGCCGCGAUCUGCCUGUAAAAUUCAGUAAUUGGGCUGUUCUGCCGUCCUUAAUUAUGCAUUUUUUGCAGGCUUGCACCGGGAUCUGUGCAUAGAGUGCUGUUGGCAGCUUAUAGGGAGGCGCAUUUGCGUUACUUUAUUGGUUGUUUGCUUCACGUCCAUGUACCGUUUCUAGACACCCUGAAUGGUUCAGCUGCGGAUGAACAGUUUCUCAAAUUCAGUUUUUGGCUUUGAGUCUGACUCGGGAUUUGGGCCUCUGGAAUUCCAUCGGUUGAGUAUGUGUUGUUUCGGUGUGAAAGUCGGCUACCCUCCCGACCCGUCUUGAAACACGGACCAAGGAGUCUAUCAUGUGCGCGAGUCAAUGGGUUUAUCAAACCCACAGGCGCAAUGAAAGUGAAGACCGGCUCGGUCGGUUGACACAUGAUCCAUUCAGCCCGCUGUUUGGUGCAAUGUGGUCCCAUCCUAGAUGCUUGUCAUCGAGGUGGAGAUUGAGCGUACAUGUUGGGACCCGAAAGAUGGUGAACUAUGCCUGAACAGGAUGAAGCCAGAGGAAACUCUGGUGGAAGUCCGAAGCGGUUCUGACGUGCAAAUCGA